UGAUCUGCGGCGGGAGAGUCCUGCCGGUGCAGCCAGCGGGUGCCGUAGGAGCAAAUCCUCCCCAGGAAUCUCUCAGGCCCACGUACCGCCGCGGUGAG
rnacentral:ncRNA from 2 species